AAAAUAUUCAUAGACGGAUGUCACAUCCGUCCAUGAAACAAAAAUUUGACAAAACUUUACAAUUUUCUAUCUGACCUUCAGGACAAAAUAUUCAUAGACGGAGGUCACAUGUCAAGUUUUUGUUUCAUGGACGGAUGUCACGUGUCAAGCUUUUGUUUCAUGGACGGAUGUCACAUCCGUCUAGAAUAUUUU
rnacentral:miRNA from 1 species